rnacentral:rRNA from 1 species
GACGUAGGGCGCGAGCGUUGUCCGGAUUUAUUGGGCGUAAAGGGCUCGUAGGCGGUUUGUCGCGUCGGGAGUGAAAACCUCGGGCUUAACUCGGGGCUUGCUUUCGAUACGGGCAGACUAGAGGUAUGCAGGGGAGAACGGAAUUCCUGGUGUAGCGGUGAAAUGCGCAGAUAUCAGGAGGAACACCGGUGGCGAAGGCGGUUCUCUGGGCAUGAUCUGACGCUGAGGAGCGAAAGCGUGGAGAGCAAACAGGAU